ensembl:lncRNA
UUCCAAGUUCCUGAGUGGUUCCUCAAGCACUGUGUACACUGAGCUCAGGGAGUGUUUGUUCCGAUAACAGACCCCCCCAAAGUAGGUAAGUAUUAUAAAUUUGGCUAAUUCAUUCAAACAACAUAUUGUUUAGUGUUCCUUAAAAGGCCUAAUUUUUAAGUGUGACGUUUGUUUUCUUAAGAAUGGAAAACAAAUUUCCUUAACGUUUCCUUUUUUCCUUAACAUAUCAAAAUAUCGUGGUUUUCAGUAAGAAAGUCUUUUGUUAUAGACAGCAAAUUCUUCUAAAUUCUUAUAAAGCAAGCAAAUGUCCACUUGAAGUAAGUGGGAGAUCAGAAUACAAAUCGUCUUUGUGCUGUUUUUCUGCCUAGUUUUCCUACUCUGUACUAUAUAACACUUUUCAGCUUUUCUCUGCUAUAACACGUGCUGUAACAUUUAAGUGCUGAUCUUGCCUGUUAAAAUUAAUUAGUGUUUAUUAUUGACUGAAGUGGAAGCAGGAUUUGAGUUUUAUCCAGAAAUUAAGGAAUAUUGAUUCGCUUAUUUGCUAUAUGAAAAAUAUAAAAAUAAUAUAUAAUAUAUAUAGCAAAUAAUUGUCAUUUCCCUACCCUUAUGGGAAAAAAAUUCUAAUCUUGCAUUAACAUUCUAACUUUCCCUGCAAAAUCAGCAGGAUUUAGUGUAUAAAACAUAAGUGUGUGAAACUAGUAAGCUAAUGAGUAAAAUUUAGUGGGACAGAUGUAACUGCUUAUUAGACUGCAUGGAUCUUCAGAGUAACCUCUGCUGGGGUCUCAAGCAAAAUGUAAAAGUUUCAUCCUGACUGUUUUCUCAUCCCUAUUAAUUCCGUAGGGAUUUUCUUGAUUAGUAAAAAGAACCAAAAACUGGCAAGGAAUGUUAUUGCUCUGGAUACAAGCCAGUUCCCCGUGUGUUCGAUGCAGUAAUUAUAACAGCAGAAAGACAACUUUUCACAGACCUGUCUUACCACCUACUUCCUGUUUUAUUCUUUCAUGGAUGCAACUUUCCCUGCAGGAAGAAGUGUUUCUGAGGCUGUAUACCAACUUCCAGGGAACCCCAACAUGCACCCACAACAACUUUUCAAAGAGGAGAUGCCUAACACUUCUGAGCCGAGUUCAGAGAUCAGGCAGUUGGGUUUCCUGUCCUGCUCCUGAGUCACACAGUUUUCUUCCCUAUUUGUUCUCUCUCUUGUUUGUUUCUGCUCGUUGCCUGACACUGGGCAUCAGAAGGCUAUUUGUGAUGUAUAACCUUGCAACUCUAAUUUCAGGAGGUUUUGUUGUGUUAAUGCAAUGUUAA